GUGGGGAAUAUUGGACAAUGGGCGAAAGCCUGAUCCAGCCAUGCCGCGUGAGUGAUGAAGGCCUUAGGGUUGUAAAGCUCUUUCAGUGGGGAAGAUAAUGACGGUACCCACAGAAGAAGCCCCGGCUAACUUCGUGCCAGCAGCCGCGGUAAUACGAAGGGGGCUAGCGUUGUUCGGAUUUACUGGGCGUAAAGCGCACGUAGGCGGAUCGUUAAGUCGGGGGUGAAAUCCCGGGGCUCAACCCCGGAACUGCCUUCGAUACUGGCGAUCUUGAGUCCGGAAGAGGUGAGUGGAACUCCUAGUGUAGAGGUGGAAUUCGUAGAUAUUAGGAAGAACACCAGUGGCGAAGGCGGCUCACUGGUCCGGUACUGACGCUGAGGUGCGAAAGCGUGGGGAGCAAACAGGAUUAGAUACCCGAGUAGUCC
rnacentral:rRNA from 1 species